rnacentral:lncRNA from 1 species
UCUUCAACACAGCGAGAAAAUCCCGCACCAGGAGUCGGGUUUCAGCUGAUCCCCUCAUCGGAAACGUGUACUCGCUCAGUGAAAAUGGACGUAACACUUAAUUCCAAAACAAACAAAUGAACUAAACUUUAAAAUAAUAUACAAGUCUAUCUUACAAGGCCAGAGGCUCCUGACUUUAUGCGGGGUUAAACUUGUUUUGUGAAAUAUCAACCCUCCCCUUGUACCUCUAGCAAACUUAGAAUAAACAAACACACAGCAAUUCGCACAAUAAAAUCAGUUUUAAAAAAGCCCUGAUCCCAGA